ensembl:lncRNA
UGUCAAUCAACUUCCUAUUGCCUGCAAGAUGUAACACUCUCAGCUCCAGCACCACAUCUGCCUACAUGCUGCCAUUCUCCCUGCUAAAAUGGACUGAAUCACUGAACUGCACUAGCUUGGAGUUUUUCUGUUAAGACCUGAAUCCAUGAGGCUAGCAACAUGGCUCAGUAGUAAAGGAAGUAAGCUCUCCGGCUGGAAAUCUGUAGCAGAUUUUCAAACUGGGAAAUGAUAACUAUGGUGUGAAAUAAAGCUUUUUUAUUGGACAGAGCAUACAAAUGAAAGAUUAUAUUGUCACCUAUAUACCACAGUGCCCAAAGCAGAGAAUGUGUCUUCUCCAAGCCUCAAGAACCAGAUGGAGGACGGUUAUGGCUCCUGCUGGCUAGGAAACUUCUGUAGCUUUGGCUGAAUUUUGUGAAAAAUCCACCUGAUAUGGAAGUUAUGUGCCACUGUGUGCAUUUGGAGGUUAGAAGAUGACUUUGGGGAGUCAAAUUCACCUUUCACCUUGUUAAAGCAGGGUCUCUAUUUCUGCUGUACUAUAUACUCAAGACUGACUGGCCCUCGAGCUUCUGGGCCAUUCUCCUAUCCCUGCCUCCCAUCUGUCUAGCAUUGCUGGGAUUACAGAUGCACACUGAUGCAUGUGGCUUUCUGUGUCAGUUCCAGGGACUGAACUCAGGUUCUUAGACUUGUUUGGUCAAUGUUUUUACCCACUGAGGCAUAUUUCCAGUCCUGAUCCUACCUCUCUCUUAGUGCCACCAGAUUGGGGAUCAAAUUUACAUGCAUGAAUGCUGGUAGGGGACACAAAACUGAGACUGUAGUGAGUAGAUACAAAGGGGAAAUGUAGAAGUCACUUCAUGGAGAAAUAGAAGCAUUUCUAGGAACAACAAACUGCCUCUACCAAAAGGACUGUUGUCCUUUAAGGUACUCACUCACAUUUGCCUGGCCUCUGACCCACUGAGCCUUUCCCAAGUGCUGCACGUCACCUUUUUCUUGUCCCAUGAGAUAUGCUGCUUAUGUUCAAGCUAUUCUAUAUUCCACAGAUAGUAUUAUGUAGUUCAUCAUGUGUUUUAGACACUGUCUGGGCAUCGUGGUGAUUCAGUCAGUUGAACUGGAUAGUUUGUUCAUUCAAGGAAUGAUUUCCUCUGAGGAAGCCAUAUGCUCUAAUUGUCUACACUUUUUGUUAGGGGCUUGAGGUACAAGAUUUAUCUACAGCCAAGUGACAGGACUGCAAGGACUUACAAGUAAUGAGGUUGAGAAAGUGUUGGUCACCAGAACCCUCUGAGGAGGAGUGCUCGUUUGAUUAGAUGAAAUACUUUAAAACGACAUUUGGGGUGGAAGGUGAAGUCCCAAAGGCUUUCUCCAUCAUGACAGUAUAUCUGUUAAAUUGCUUUGCAUGAGAGAGGAGAGGAGCUCUAUGGCUCUUGGAUAAAGAGGUAGGAAGGCAGAGAGAUGGAAGGGGGAAAGACCUACCAUAUGCUAUGGUAGAAUGAUGACAGUUGCUCAGUGCAACCCUUCAUAGCAGAGCUAUAUCGCUGAUAAAAUAUGCUGAACUCAUUGAUCUUUAAAAGGAAGAUUUAGAUAAACUGACUUUGAAAAAUACUUGUUAUUAAAAUUGUUUGUUUAUGAUUUAAAAAAAUAACAAAAAUAUGCUGAACUAAUGACAUGUUUAAAAUGUAUGAUUGUCUUGUGGAUAUCAGUCAGGAGCUUGAGUUUGGUAUCUGGACUAAAGCUGAACCCUUCAAUGUCUCCUUCUCCCUCCAUCUCUUUCUUUCCCUCCCCUGUAUUCUUUUGUUUCCUCCCUCCUUUCCUCCUCUAUUCAAGUAUCCUACACUGUAGCAGAGAGCAGCAUGGGAGACCUGGCAGGCAGAGGUACCAGCGAGCUUGAAGAGAUUGGGUGUGGUACCCAGACAUUGCAGCCAUAGCUCAGAGGAUGGUUAAACAGUGGACUUGAACAGCUUACAAAGGCUGGAAGAAGACAACACUGUCCAAGCAAAUAAUCUCCAUCCAGACUGUUUUCCUGUCUUGUGGGAUUUGAGUGGGAAAAAGUGAGAGGUUUGAAAAUGUCUUAGAGUUCAUAAUGUGCCUGGCCCAGUUCUGGGGAUUCCAAGGAGAUAAAGAUGCUGUUACUCACCCUGAGACAGAGACUGUUCGAACACAGUAACAAAACUAUGGCGACAGGAGAAAGCAUCUGAAAGACAUGGUACCAAAAGAUGUAUUCAGAAGAUGCAAGGAGUUGCAAGGAUGUGUAAAGAAGAUUUCUUUUUGGCAGAGGAGUAAAGCAGCGGAGGUGAAGGAUUAAAGGCGGAGGGGAACUGAAGCAGAGCAGCCAUUCUCAGGGAUUAAAAUGGCUUUGUUAAUCACUUGAGGACUCUGAACUUUACCUGAAGGGGUGGGGAAACUAUGGGAUAAUUUAAAGCUGGUGAAAAUUAUGAAAAUUAUUUCCUUGUAAAGACCUCCCUGAGGGUUGGGAAGAUGGCUCAGGAGGUAACACUUGUUGUGCAAGCCUGAUGACCCCAGUUAGACCUCUGAAACUGAUGUAAAAAUGAGAUGCAGCUAUGUGUGUCUGUAAUCUAUCACUCUUACAGUGAAAUGGGAUGUGAAGACAAUAGAAUAAGCUGGAAAUAGUGAGCAGGCCAGCUAGCCUGGAGUAUGCAACAUGACAAAAACAAGUAAAACUAUGCCUCAGUGAGGUGAAGGUCAGAAUAGACUCCCCCAAAUUGUCUUCUCAUCUGUACUUGUGCUGUGUGGUACACUCACAGCGUACACACACCACACACACACACACACACACACACACACACACACACACACACACUAAAUAUCAAUUUAAAAAUGACCUUCCUGAUUUACGUGCCACUCUCUUUGAGCUCUCAAAGUAUUCGUUUGUCCGUGUCAUAUUUGUUUCCGUCUCCGGUUGCAGUUGUCACUACUUCAUUAAAAUCUUUUGGGAAGACCGGUUAUUUUAUUUCUGCAUGAUUAGCGCAUUUUGUGCAGUCUGGGAAUCAUAGAAGCUAUUUGGUAGAUUUAUAAAUUUUUUGAGAAAUGAACAAUUGGAAGGAGAAAGAGAGAGUGAGAACUACAGAGAGAAGGGGAGGAGGAAGAGAAAGUAGUGCUGCAGUUCUGACGGAAGGUAGUGAAAGCCUGAAUGAGGACAUAAGGAUAAUUGGGACUGAGAGGCAGGGUGUUAACUAGAGACAUUCAUAAACGGGGUCCUUUGGGCUUUGUGACUGACAAGGUGGUUGAAAGAGGGGUUAGUGAGGAAGACUAACUUUGGUUUUUUACUUUGGUGACUUGGAGUAGAGAGACAUAAAAUCAGAGGAGUAGGUUUGUUUUGAGAGGAUAGGGAGACUAUUGUUCCAUGAGUCUCUAUAGUCAAUGCAUCAUCUGGAAGCAACACAUAGAAGACUACUUUUGGGGUAGCUCAUGUUCUCUAACAAGGAGACCACAGGCUAGAGGAAAUAAGCACACAGAUGGUCUUUGAAGAUUUGAGGGUGGAUAUAAUUCCACAGACAGAAGACAAGAGGAAGGGUGAUAAAAUCAUGGUAAAUGUUUAACAUUUGGAAGAAGAACAAACAAAGUUGCCCUUGAAGGCAGAGUUGGUGCCAUAGAAGGAAAGAAAUUGGAAGAGAGAAAAUCAUUAUAGAUAUCAUAAUGGAAUACUUACACUUGGUGUCACAUUUGGAUGCUCUUCUGUCUUUCCCUGCCCGUUGUAGUUAAGCGGUACAUGUGACUAAUUCUGCCGAAUGGCCAUGAAGUAGAAGUGACAAGCGAGUGUUCCUUCUGGGCUGAAGCUGUUAAGAGCUGGCAAAGUGAGACUUUAGCACUGUGAAAUUCUAUUUGUGACCUGAUGGAGCCAAGAUGGAAACAGCCUGGGCAAGAGUCUCAUGGUCACGGAAGCCAGAGCAACCAGUUUUGUAGGAGUGAGAAAUGAGCUUUUGCUGUGUUAAGUCACUGAAAUUUGAGAGUUAAUUUGUUUCUGCCCCAAGCCAGCAUAUCCAAGGAGUUGGACUUCAAGAAGUGGGUAGAUACAAAGUAAAAGUGACCAGGUAGAAUAAAAAAGUGACUAGUGGAUUUAAAAAAAAUCAGGAGACAAGUAGUGUAGCGGAAGUGACACUUACUAUGAGAAAUCAAGGCUGUGGUGAGGAAUGGGGAAUUAUGAACACAGGUGCGGCCCCCAGGGCUUCAGGUAAAGAAGUGAGAGGAAAGCAGAGGCAAGAGAACACAUGGUGAAGUUCCUCAGGGAAGAUUAUGGAUUUGAGCCGGGAGGGAGAAGAACAAAAAGAGAAUUAAAAACAUAGGAAAGAGCUUAAUCCCAGCACUCAGGAGGCACAGGCAAGUGAAUCUGAGUUGGAGGCCAGCUUGUUCUACAGAGCUAGUGCCAGGACAGCCAGGGCUACAGAGAGAAACCCUGUCUCAAAAAACAAACAAACAAACAAAAAACCAUAGGAAAGGAAGGAGAUAACAGAAAGGGUGAGGUCUCUAAAAACAUCAUGACUAUGAGUUCAUUAGGACUGAGACAUCUGCAGAAAAUUUGCUUCUCUUUGUGACACCAACUAACAAUCUAAGCAAUAGAGGAGAGGCUACCUUAAUGAGCCUCCCCUGAUAAUAAAAUUAAUGACUAACUUAUAUGCCUCCUAUAGCCUUCAUCCAGCAGCUGGUGGAAGUAGAAGCAGACACCCACAGCUAAACCUUGAACUGAACUGAAAUCCAGUUGCAGUGAAGGAGGACUGAUGAGCAAAGGGGUCCAUACCAGGCAGGUGAAACCCACAGAAACAGCUGACCUGAACAAGGGAGAGCUCUUCAUUCCCAGACUGAUAGCUGGGAAACCAGCAUGGGACUGAUCCAGACCCCCUGAAUGUGGGUGUCAAUGAGGAGACCUUGGAAAUCUAUGGGGGCCCUUGUAGUAGAUCGGC